GUACGCAACGACCAGCACAGGUUAGCGACGCAGGGCGACCUGGCUCACGUGACAAGCUGGGCACAGGCAGACAAGACCUGUUAUUAGUCGUUGCGGUGUCAAUGCAUUCGGCCAGGAGCAGAUCGUCUGAGCAUUUCUGCCUGGGAUUCACUUACAGUCUCGCCCCCCGUCAUUAAUACGCCUGCCCCACUGCUGCGCCCAAUCCCGCGGGUUUGAAUGGACGGGACUGGGACACUCCACGUGAGAUUUCCGCUGGGAUGGCAUCUUUUCCAAAAGCCUUGCCACUUGACGGCAAAUGACUGACCUUGCUUAGCUCGUCUGCUGUGAGUCCCGCAUCGAGCUCUGGUGUAACAGGUAGAGUUGCUAUUUCAUAGUCCAGCCUCCCACCUGUCCCCACAACCGCUAAUGCGAGACCCUUUAGAUACCAUCCACCAACACCAGCACUGCCAAAGACCCUCCAGGACCCCCACUCACCUAUCCAGAGACCAGGGCUGUCACGAAAUUUAAAAAAAGAAUGAUGCUGAAUCGCGCUGUUACACAAUAAGCGCUCGCCAUUUCGUGGAAUAUUUCUGGAUUUUUCUACAUUGUCAGAUAUACUGAUUUCAAUUACAAAGCAGAAUCCAAAGUCUACAGCACUCACAUUAUUUUUGAUUACAGAUAUUUGCACUGUAAAAACAAAAGAAAUAUUAUUUUUCGUUCACCUCCUACCGGUACCGUAUUGCAAUCUCUUUAUGUUUUUUAAAUUGUGCUUGAUUGAUUAGAGUCGGCUGCAUGAGUUAACUGUAAUUAAUUGAUAAUCCUACCCCAAACCCCAACACCCACUCAUCCUGUUUCUCCAACACCCCUCAGUCCUCAGUGCACCCCCCCUGAGAUCCUCCAGCCCCCACCCACCUACUGUGGAAUCUCCAGAAACCCCAGCACCCGUGUAUGGGGGAUAGAUGUGUGUGCAGGGAUAGAUGAACAGACAACAUUACAGGGGCUAUUUAAUGGGAUGUGGAGCAGCCACUGUCUAUGGGGUGCUUCUCCUCCCCGUGUGCU